rnacentral:rRNA from 1 species
AUGUCAUCCCCACCGAAUCCUCAUCUUCAAAGAAUUUUCUUGCAAGGGCCUAUCGCGAAAGAACUCAAGCCAAUACUUUUUCAUUUUCAUGUAGUAGAUCCUAGGAAACAUACGUACGAGAUAUUUAAAGCCCUUCGGGUAUCCGGUAAAAGGAGGACGGUUCCGUAUCUUUUGAUCGGCAAAGGGUUCGAUGCAUUAGUUUUCGACUAUGAACGUGUCAAUCAGCUAGAUCUACUUGCGACAAACGUCACCCCUGAAACGAUUAUCGAAAAUACGGAGGCUUAUCAAAAGUAUUUGAAACAUGACGUUCUUCUUUUUGCUCAUAUCAUGGUCAGGGUGCAAAAUAUCUUUUAUGAAAACUAUAAGAUUGACAUAGUUUCUAAAACGACUAUAGCGGCUAUGGCCUUUACCAUAUAG